GAGAGGGAGAAAGAAAGGGAGAGAAACGCUGAUGUGACAGGGAACCAUGGAUUGGUUGCCCCUUGCAUGCACCUGACCAAGGACCACACCUGUGACCCAGACUCAAGCCAACAGCCUUUCGCUUUGUGGGACAAUGCUCCAACCACUGGGCCACACCGGGCAGGGCCAGGACCCUGAUGUUUUGUCUGAGUGAUGAAGCUGAGAGCAACGGGAAGUGCCUUGCCAGAUCUUUGACGUGGCCGUGAAUGGAGCGUGGUGGCAAUGCCCACGGAGAGCACCGUGGGGCACAGCGGUUGCCAAAGUGUCCCCUCCCUGGCCUCCCCUGCCAUGCACGGCCCAGCACCCCGGCCCAGCCUCCACCAUUGGUCCAAUUGACGUUUUCAAGCACCUCCUUUUUCCAGCACGUCUCUUAUUGGCUUAGCCCCUUUAACCUUGGCGUCGACCUGGUGGAGUAGGUUCCAUCAUGCACUUUAGAAACGAACAUGGUACAGCAGGGGGUGGCUAAGUAACUCGUUGAUGGCCACAUGGCCAUUAGAAGCAGCCUCGGGGGUGGGGCUCCGAGCUCCACAGGGCUGCAGGCAGCCUUGUUAGAUGCAGCUUUUCUGUGGGCCUCUGUUUUCACGAAGGGGGGGGGCGCUUCAACCACCAUCCUCUUUCCUAGAGGUCUGGUUAAAAAUAAGAAGAAAAAUUAGAAAAUAGAAGAUAAAAACGUGUAGUUAGGGAAUAGUGGGCUAUUUGCUUUUGUGAGCACAGUUUAAUCUUAUUUCUGAACAAGACGUGGGGUUUUCAGCCCGAGCCGCUGAUGUCAAAGGCACUCUGAUGGAGGACCCUCCGGGGUCUGUCCACAGCACUCCGCCCCUCCUCCCAGCAGAGGGACCCGCCUCCCUCUCCACCGCCCUCUGAACUCACUGCUGGCUCCGCGGGGAAAGGCCAGGCCUCGUUGUCACUCGGUGCUUUCUUUGUGUCUGUGCCCCGCACACAUCUUGCUUCUUUUUGUUCCUAGACUGCUAGACUGCUUCCUUCUGCUGUACCUCCUCCUGCACAGGGAUCUUACAGUUCUCGUUAGUUUACCGUCUCGGGCCCAGCAAGUUCCCACAGUUGCAGAGUUUCGGAGUUCCACACAUUUCCCCCAUUCUUCUCAUCUUCUCCAGGUCUUCCAGUUCUCCUGGUCUCAGUCCCCCGCCCUGGGGACACGAAACGAUGCGGACCUGGGUGCCGUCUAAGGUGGCACCUGAUUCUCUGACAUAUUUUUUUUUUUUUAGUUUUCAUUGUUGUUCAAGUACAGUUUUCUGCCUUUUACUCCCCUCCCGGCCCACCCCGACAGCCCUCCACACCUCCCUCCUGUUUCCUCCCCCCCCUUGUUAUUGUCCAUGUGUCCUUUAUACUUGUUCCUGCAAACCCUUCCCCUUUCCCCUGAAAUUCCCUCCCCUCUCCCUUCUGGUCACUGCUCUGACACAUUCUUGGUGGGAGAGUCACUUCCCAUGACCUUCCCUGGGGGGCAGGGCCGUGCUCCGCACUCUGACGUCUCAGUGGGCUCCUGCCCCUUCAGACCCCUGCUUACUAGCCGAGCCCAUUUCCCAGUGCCAGUGGGGUGCCUGUCCUUGUCCUUGGGCGGCUGCCAGGAGCAUGCCGCUCAUCUGAAUUGCCCACGCAGUGGUUUCUAUGGUUCAGUAGCCGCGGUGUGAGCAGAGCACGGGCAGGCCGUCAGUGUCACUUCCAGGACCGAGGACCGAGAAUGGAGCAUUGGCCGAGUGAACGGCCUGCUGCCCACAGGACGGCAGGAGUGGAGGCCUCCCGAGCCUCCGCCGCGGCGUGAUGAGACUCCUCCACAUCUUCCUUACCGCCCUCCUCACCAUCUGCCAGGCCCUGCCCGUGAACUGGACGAUUGGAGAACCAAGGCAGCUGAAUCACCUGGUUAGUGUAACCCAGAGUGGAGACAAAUGUCAUGGAGACCCUGGCUAGACACCUCUUGCCACUCAUGUCAUGGGAGUGACCGAGAGUUUAGAUGGACAGCACUAGGGCACUCAGUUUUGAAAGACCCUGCUACCUUCGGGGUGGAGUCUGCCUGAAGCAAGGGACACCAAACUGUGAGCCCUACCGAGGAUCCUGCCGAGCAUUCACCAUUUGCUGCCGGAUAAAGAGGAGCUGAUGAAGGCGCCCGGGGGAGGAAGCCCAGCUCAGGCACCUGCCACAUGAAGGGGUAGUAGUGAGAGGGGAACAAUGACAAGAAUUAAAUUUAUGUUACGCGUUAACUUUUGCAAAGCACUUUCAUGCACAUAACACUGCACCCUUAGAACCACUCCGGUCUAUCAAACCCACUUCACAGAUGUAGAAACCAAAACUCAGCUAGAUUCAGCCGCUCCCCCAAGAUGACACAGUCAUAGAAGAAGGAGCAUAAUCUAAAACUUUGUUCUGUUCCAGAAUUCUCUGUCUGUGCAGACAGGGAGUUAUGGUUCCCUUCACAGUCUCAGGCAUCUGGACAGGAAGGAAUUCACUACAGUGGGCGAGGCACCAUGAAGACAGGGUGUG